ACGGGGGGUUUAUUUCUAAAUCUUCAAAACAAUGAUCCUGUGUUUUGACUGAAUAUCAGGAAGGUGCUAUUUUAAGCUCCACACGACAAAGUUGACUUUUUAAGAAUAGGGCUUUUUUUAAUUUACCCUUAAAAUGGUAUCAUACAAAGAACAGUUAGGUUUUCUGUGGUGGCAUUUUACCUAUAGGGUUUGUUUAUGGAUCUCUUACAACCCUUUCUCAUGGCCUAAGAUGUAUGUUGGGGUCUGUCAUAACGUACGUUUCUCUGUGUAAGUUUUGUCCAGCAGCUUCUGUUAUCUUGGACACUGAUUUAACAGUGGGUUUUGUUUGUUUGUUUUUUGGGUUUUUUUUCUCAUCAGUUCUAGUGCCUUCCAUUUACUCCCAGGUUUAAUGAAUUUCACUCAUGUUCCUGUGGAAUAUUGCUGGAACACUUGUGAAGAGAGCUAAAAAAAAGCAAAAAGUGGGCAAUAUUGGGUAGAACAAAGCUUCCCAGAAUUUACUAGCUGUGUCAGGUGAGAACAUCACCAUUGCUUAAUUUAAAUGUGAAGAAGAGUAUUACCUCCUUUUUACUUCCCCAGUGAUGCAUUGUUGGGGUAUACAGACACAGAUGAGUUCGUUUUUGAAACAAGCAUCUUAAGGCCCGGGUUCAUAAUGUAUUCCAAUACACAAUGGUUCUUCAUCUUGUCUGUUUUUAUUUUUUACCAUUAUUUUCCACUUUAGGAAGCAAUAGGAGGAGAGCUUGAGAGCUGUACUUGAACACAGAUGGUAUGAUGGCACAGCAUUUGCUGCAACUUGCUUCGAGUUAUGUUACAGAGUUCAUUUUUAACAUAAGCUUUAAACCUUUAUUUUGUAGAAAAGUCUCAUGGAAAUGGCAACCACCCAAAUAUAGACUAUACGUUUUCAGAGGUACUUGAAUAUUUUGUGGUAACAUGAUGAAAAAUUAACUGAUACAGGAAUAAUUAUAAUCCUUAAAAGUGCAUAAAGAAUCCAGACUGGAGCAUACGUUAGAUGAAACACAAGAAGCAAGAUGGAUGGUGCCGAAACAGGCGUGCUUUGCCCUGGGAUGCGUGAAGGCGGUUGGCCACCUGCUCCGCUGGGAGCACCGACUGAACGUGGGUCCUCCAGAUCUGGAAAUAUGAGUUUGAGUGAAUUUAAUAUGGUUUUGAUAAAUUAACUGUGCAUCGGUCUUAUCCCGAUCCUCCAGACAGGACUGAAUUACACCCUGAAUUCCUGAAUCUGGAGUAAUUCUGUUGGUUUAUAGAUGAAAACAGUUCUUUUCUUUUUGCAAACAAUAGCCAUUGGGAUUUGGGAACUUGGAACUCUUUUUAGCUUGUAUUCAUUUCCGUUAUGUGUAACUGCUCUUGAGUGAGCAAGAUAAUACUUAAAAAGUGUUACCAGAAGAGACAGGAUGUCUUGAAGCAAACUUGAGACUAACAUCAUUCUAUUAUACCUACUUUGAUUUAUUUUUGGACUUAUUUUUUAUUUAUUUGCGCUUACUAGCUAAUGUUAUUUUAAUGUUGAUUGUCAGGAAAAAGGCUCCAUAAUGUCUUGUUUCAAAUCAGUUCUGCCACUCAGUUUCAGAGCUUCUUGUCUUGUAUGCAUUUAUCCUCAGCUUGUCUCUUAUUUUUUAAAUGAUAAAUUAUUUAUUUUCUUUACAUUCUUUAGAAAUAUACCAUAGCUGUUAGAGUUGAAGGCAUCAGAAAAAAUGCUAAGGUGCAAGUUACCGGUCUCAUAGGGUACACCCCGAGGAUUUCUGGAGGACCUCAAAAAUGAAAUAGCGUAGCUGCUAUAGGAUACACGCAAACUCUCACUGUAAACAUUUGCCACUAAAAGGAUCAAUGGGUAAUGUAUUGAACCUGUAUUUUUACAAGGUAAUCCAAGGAAUUAUUCAUACAGUGAAUUGUGUAUUAGAUGAUCAUCUGAAGUUAAAAAUGGAAUGAUACAGCACCUCAAAGGUCAUUUUAUGAGGUGGUCUAAGAAAUUACAAUGUCUAGAGUAGAAAAAUCUCAUUAAUCUCUUACUGGUAUCUGAGUGGUUCAGUAGAGUUAUGGGUGAAGGAGAACUUACUAAUAUAUUUUAUUUAGAUUUUCACAAGCCCUUGGUAAAAUUAUCACAGCAGGUUACUAAAGAAAUUCAAGAUGUAGCUUUACAAGGGCAACUUAGGCCCCUAAAUACGUAUUUAAGUAACUUUAUUCAAGUUAUAGGCAUUAAUAGCAUUUCUAAUCUUGAAGGUUUGCUUAAUGCAGUAGGAACUUAAAUUUUCCACUGGUAAAAUCACUUGGUUCCCUUGUUUUUGCUGCCGAGCAUGUGCAAAACCAUCUUGACAGCUCCAGGCUGCUAAGCCCCGAAGAAAUACAUAAAAUAAGCAUUUUCUUGCAAGUUUCCUCACAACUGCCUGUCAACUUCAGUUUUGCAUCCCAGCAACCAAUUUCAACUCAUUUUAUUUUAUACUGACUACAUUUAUCACAAUUUAUUUUAUAUUCUUCAUAGGAUAUUGAAAGAGGCUCUCAGGGCCGCAGAUUGCUGCUGAAAUGUUAGACAACAUUUGGCAUGAGCAGGAUCAGAAAUUAAAAACUGGCAUUUUUUAGCCUGGUUGCCUUUGAAAUGAGGUUUAUGAGAUUGUGUUGUUUAUCUCUCUGUACAUUCAGCAAUUCCCCUUAAAAACUUUGGGACCCAAUUUCAACCAAAUUUGAAAGAUGAGCUGAAAUCUCAAGAUAAAUAAGGUCUGUGAAAAACUGCAGCUGUACAGAGGACAAAGCGCGUAAUUAAAUGCCUGCGCUGUGGAAAAGGCAGGUGGAAGCCAGCCUUUAUGUAGUGGUUGAGAGCCGCCAGCCUGCCAGAGCAUGCUCAAAGAUUUUUGAUUGAGCAUAGUGUGUGCCCUAUAUGGAGAGUGGGUUUCAGAAGAGAACCUGAGGUUGUUAUGGCAGAGAAGAUUCAGGAAACAAAGAACACAGGUCCAUGAAAACAAUCAAUCAAAUGCCACAUUGUUUGUUUUAUUUCUUGCAGAGCAACUCGAUUCUCUUGCCCUGCCUCUUCUUCCUCCUUCCCACCCUGAACACCUUUUUUUCUCCCAGAAUCUCCAGACUCUGUUACUAUCUUUGUAUUCCCCUUGCUCUCCUGGCUCAGCAUCAAUUCCUGUAACUUAACUGGCCUAAGAAUUCUGUCUGAUUUAGUAAUGAGGUCUCAGAUAUACCCUGGUGGGAGCCAGUUAAUGGCUGUUUCUUCAUCCAGAAAGUUCAACCAGACUGUUAGGAUGUGCUCAUGUCAAUAGCUGUAACAAAACUAAUUGGUACUGACCUCUUUCCAUCCUGACUGGAGAAUGUCCUGCUUUGAUAUUUAUACUCAUCAAACAUUUGUGGAUUCUUAUUGUGCCCCCCUGCUGGCUACCUGACAUUUUAGACCCAGCUGUUGUGUGGUGGGACUAGUGAAUCUAGUUUAAAAGAAGCUAAGUAGAGUUAAGCAAAUUAUUAUUUUUUAAAUCUAUACACACAUUUCAAAUAGUAUAUCCAACCCAACAUUGCAAUGUUUUUAAAAUAUUCCUAUAAGGUAUGGAGGCCUACAGCUGUCCCACAGGGUCUGUGUUAGUCUAAAAACCUCUGUGAGUGUUGUAUAUUUUACAAAUUAGCUUUGCUGGAGAAACAAAGAAAAAUGCCUUGUCUCCUUUUUGUCUUUUCUGUCAGGUUCUUCCUCAAGAUGGAUACCUUAUCUAGCAUGGAAAGUUUUUGUAGUUCUCUGGUCAAUUCUCUAAACAGGACACAAUCGAGCUGAUGUCAAAACAAAGAAUACACACAUGCAUAGUACUGGGCUGUGAUAAAAGCUGCUCUUCUGCACAACUUCCCAGCUUGUGAAACCUGUCUGGUUUUGCAUAAUAGAUAAGCCCCAGGAAGUAUAAAAUUAGUGGGAGUGCUUGCAGUGUGGCCAAGUUACAGUUUUACAGUCGUUUAAAGGUCAGCAGCAAAUUGCCAUCUACACCCAGUCCUGCAGGAUAAGGCUCUGUAGGGACAAAGCUCUCACGCAAAUAUCCACAUGAUUUGCCUGUGGCCGUUUGGAAAACCUGAGGCUGAAGAAGGGGCUGAGAUCCCACCCUGUCACUUGCAAGCCAGGGUCAGAGUUACCAAGCCAAUCUUUCUUGUCAUUUAUCUAGGGCAGACUUUGAAACCUAAGCCUCGAGGAAAGAUUUUUGAAGCAAAAACUCCAGGCCUAAGGUCUCACAGGGCAGGUACUCUUUUUUCCCCAACUUCUGGAUUAUCUUUUUCUUAUUACUUAACUGAAAAUGAGAUUUUGAUGAGAAGAAAAUUAAACUGCUGAAGGAGACUACCAAGUUUAUGGAUGUUAUUAUCUCAUAAAUAGUUAAUGUCUCACUUCUCAGUCAAACUUUUUUUUUUUUUUUCCAAACUUGGCAAGCUUCUGGUGAGGAUAAUAAAGAGUGCAUCUAGGCUGUAACCAAAUGAACUCUAUGAUACGAUAAGCAGAAUGCAAGCAGCAAUAAUAGCAGUAGACUAACUUCAGAAUGCUGUGAGUUCCUCUGAACUUCACCAACAGAUUUGUUGAUCAGCUUCAGAUUCUACAAUGUCAUUUUUCUUCUUCAACAGAAAAACUGUCACCAGAGCUGGUUACAGCUCACGCCUGCAAAUGCAAAAAGUUGUAUGGAGACAACAGUGCACAGGAAGACUUGCUAGGCCAUGGAUUAACAUGUGUACCAGUGCCAAUUUUCAGAGAAGAUAGUUUGCACAAGGAAAGCUCAGAACUCAAAAGCAGAGAUUGGGUGCUCUUCUAAGAAUAGGUGGAGGGACAAGAUUUGGGGAAAAAAACUAAACCCAAAAAACCUGCUGUAGAAAAUGCUCCACCUGCUGUGAAAACAAAAAGGAAGGAGGGUAAUAAAAGAAGUAUGAAGCAUAUCUAGUUUCAGAAUUUGGCUGAAGAAAAAGGAGCAGUAAAAAUCACUACUACAGAUGAAAUCCAUAGAUAGUCUUAAAGGAUGGAAAGAUCUGUACUGCAUCCUGCAACUAUCGGAAAGCACAUGGGGAGUGUGUGGGGUGUUAAUAGGCAGAUUAUAAGACAAGGUGGAGAUUCAGACAUGUCCAGCUAGAGCUAUGGUUGAUGUUCAGGUAGGAAGUUCUUGAAAUGUCCUGAACUCCACAGAGCAUGCUUAAAUCCAUGAGUCAGUGUGGUAUAUGCUACAGCUACUCAGCACUGACCAGGAAGCUCUCCGAACUAUUUGUUUGCUCCAUCUCCUACAGAUAGCUGGUGAUGAGGCAAACACAGUUAGGAGUUCUCUUUCUGAUGAAACUUUUAAGCUCAUGGCGCACAGGCACUUGAUCUGCAAUACCAGACGUAUCCCUCAAACAGCUGGACGCAAACGCAGGAAGGACUUUUCCUGCAGGUUCUCGGGUAACGAGCUAGGCUGACAUACCUGUACCUCAGCUGUAAAUGAAGCCUCUCCUGGCACUUGUGCAGCGUGCCACUCCCGGGAAGAUUUGGGAGUUUGCUAGGCAAGUCCUGCCUCUGGCUCACGCGGUCCCUGGCACCACUCCGAUACCCACAGAACAAUUUAUAU